GCUGGGCAUGGCGGUGCAUGCCUAUAAUUCCAUCGGCUCGGGAGGCUGAGACAGGAGGAUCGUAAGUUCAAAGCCAGCCUCAGCAAUUUAGCGAGGUGCUAAGCAACUCAGUGAGACCCUGUCUCUC
rnacentral:sRNA from 1 species